rnacentral:lncRNA from 1 species
CCGGAGCCGACCAGUGGUGGCGGCAGCCCCAGGUCCCGGGUCCCUCAGACAAAAAGGCGGGUGGAGGAGGAGUAGCCGAGCCCAGAGUCCUGCUCCGGCGCCGCCGAGCACCGCCCGCCUCAGCCGACCAGCCCCGUCGGCUACUGGGCCUAGCCUAGAGGAGAGGAGGGAAAGGCCGCGGAGGCCGCGAGGAGACGGCUGGGGCGCCAGCGGCCGGCUGCCGCCUAGUUGUGCUGCCCGGACCAAGGAAGGAGAAGUGGGAGGAGCGGGGAGCUCAGCGGCUCAGGACGACGACGCUCGCCACAUCCGGGACCCUCCGGCCGUGGCGGUCGCAGCGCCGGCAGCUCGGGCCUCAGCCCCUGCCUCUGUGGUGACUCCGCCGCGCUUCGACGUCGCCCCUGUCCCCGUCCCGCCCGCCGCCCCCGCCAACCCCGCCGCCGGGGACAUGUCCAACCCCUGAAGCCGGAGGAACGGGCCAGUCAGACUGCGCCCGACAGGUGAUGGGGAGCGGCGGCCGGGCUGGGCAGCCGCCGGGUGGGCGAGCUGGCGCGGGGUACCUGUUGACUUGGGAAGGGCCAGGAUCGCGAUCAAUGGAGGUGAAGUGAAAUCUGCAAGAGUCCUGCUCGUUCAAGGCCUGCAUACAGGAAAGAAGCAGGGGAAAAGCGUUAGAAACAGCUUUUGUUCUACAGCAUUUUAAAAUAUAAUAGGUAUAUUGAAAAGUCUGAUUCAGUUACAAUCAGUGUAUGGAAUCACAAGAAGAUCCAUAAGAAACAAGGUGCUGGAUUUCUCCGUUGUGUUCGUCUUUUUCCAGUGCCAUCAACCACCUCAAAGACACUGGUUAUCAGAGGUUGGAUUUAUGCAAACUUGGGCCAAAGGACAGUUAGAAGACAGUAGCUGAAGAAGCAUCUGUAGGGAAUCCAGAAGGAGCAUUCAUGAAGAUGUUACAAGCCCGGAAGCAGCACAUGAGCACUGAGCUGACUAUUGAGUCGGAGGCGCCCUCAGACAGCAGUGGCAUCAACUUGUCAGGCUUUGGGAGUGAGCAGCUAGACACCAAUGACGAGAGUGAUGUUAGCAGCGCACUAAGUUACAUCUUGCCUUAUCUCUCACUGAGAAAUCUAGGUGAUCAGCUUGAAAUUCAGCUAACCGAGCAGCUACGGUCCCUCAUCCCCAACGAGGAUGUGAGAAAGUUCAUGUCUCAUGUUAUCUGGACCUUGAAAAUGGAAUGUUCAGAAACACAUGUGCAAGGGAGCUGUGCCAAGCUCAUGUCGCGAACAGGCCUCCUGAUGAAGCUUCUCAGCGAGCAGCAGGAAGCAAAGGCAUUGAAUGUAGAAUGGGAUACGGACCAACAAAAAACAAAUUAUAUUAAUGAGAACAUGGAACAGAAUGAACAGAAAGAGCAGAAGUCAAGUGAGCUCAUGAAAGAAGUUCCAGGAUAUGACUAUAAGAACAAACUCAUCUUCGCAAUAUCUGUGACUGUCAUACUAAUAAUUUUGAUUAUAAUUUUUUGUUUUAUAGAGGUAAAGACAAUAAUUAAUUCAGGUUUUCAAAAUACAAUCCUGUGUUUGUGUGGAUUCAGAAUCCACAAACUGAAAACCAACGUCACUUUCCCACUUGACAUUCUUCUUCUGUCAUUUAAGGCUGAGGUGUGCUUUGUUCUUUUACUGCAAUGUAUAUUCCAGGAUUGUUAAAGGAUCCUCGCUUCCAGGAGGUCUCUGUGAAAUAAAACCAAGUUAAUCCCACUAGACUAUUUUAAGAAGUUAAGUUGAUAUAAUAGCAAAAUUUCUCCCACCCAAAACUAUGUCAACAAUUGGAUGUACUCACUGAGUCACCCCUUACUCUGCCACUAAUUUAUUUCCUUGUUGCUUAAAUGAUGAGAGACAUAUAAUCUCCACCCUCACGGAGUUGUCAUCACCCUGGAGAGGAAGAAGACAGCCAAAAGAGAGAAGUAUUGUCUUGUAGACUUACUAGAUUCACAUAGUAUCAUCCUUCUCCAGUGUGUAAGGUGUUGUCUAAAUAGGUCCAGUUAAAGAACUACAGGGUAGCCAUUUUUAAAAAAAAAUUUUGGCCACGUUUUCAAAUUCACAGGGGAGGGGGAAUGUCUCAUACUCCAGCCCUCCUGAGCCUAGGCCCUCUGUGAGAUGUGUCACCAUUUCUUGGACACCAUAUGAGACAUUCCCCCUCGGAUUAGAGAUGCUCAACCUGCAUCAACAAAUCUAAAGCCUGCAUCUGGCUACCCUGGGGCGAGUCCUGUUUACAGUGCCUAUUCCUGGAGCUCGCCUCUUUUUGCCUUUUGUUUGAUUAUGUGAUGUAUUACUUUUCCCAGCAGGCCAGUGCUAGCAUACUGGAAGAGGGAUUUAAUAAGCUGGCACCCUUGAUGCUAUGCUCCUAAUCCAACCUUAUUUGCCUCAUUGGCCAUUUCCAUUAUGGUGGCAGCCCUCCAUUCCAGCCACAGCAGCCCCUCAGCGUCCCCCAGUCACACUGUCCCCAUUGCUGCUCAUCUGUGCCUUUGUCCAUCUACAAUGCCCUUAUUUCACUCUGCCUGUGGGAGUCCUGUGAAUCUCUCCAAAGCCAACUCAGUUCAUCUUUCUGCUUGAAACCUUCCCUGAAUAGGCCAGGUGCGGUGGCUCACGCCUGUAAUCCCAGCACUUUGGGAGGCCAAGGCAGGCGGAUCACAAGGUCAGGAGAUCGAGACCAUCCUGGCUAACACAGACCAUUCUCUACUAAAAAUGCAAAAAAUUAGCUGGGUGUGGUGGCGGGCGUGUGUCGUCCCAGCUACUUGUGAGGCUGAAGCAGGAAAAUGGCAUGAACCUGGGAGGUGGAGCAUGCAGCCAGCCAAGAUCGGGCCGCUGCACUCCAGCCUGGGGGACAGAGCGAGACUCUGCCUCAAAAAAAAAAAAAAAAAGAAACUUCCCUGAAUAUUCCAGCCCUCCUGAGCCUAGUCCCUUUGUGAGAUUUGUCCCCAUUUCUUGGACACCAUAUAAGAGACUUCAGAGGCUGAAGUGGGAGGAUUGCUUGAGCCUGGGAGGUCGAGGAUGCAGUGAGCUGUGGUCAUACCACUGCACUCUAGCCUGGGCAACAGAGCGAGACCUUGUCUCAAAAACAGCCACCACCAAAAACUAUCUUGGGAUUUGAAUAGGAUUACCUUAAAUUUGUAGAUUAAUUUGAGAAUUGACAUCUGUACGACAUUCUAGAACAUGGUAUUUCAUGUCAUGUAUUCAUUUCUUGUUAAUGUCUUUCAGAAGAGUUUUAGGGUUUCCAUCAUAUAGAUCUUACACGUCUUUUGUUAGAUAACAGAUCUUUGUAUUUUUGUUCCUAAAUACUUCAGACAUUUGUAUUGCCAUUGUAAAUGGGAUCUUUCUUCCAUUUUCUAGUUAGUUAUUGGUGGUACAUCUGAAAAGCAUUUGAGGUUUGUGUGCUGCUCUCUUGAUUUUGUUUCUAGCCACCGUACUGAAUUCUCAUAUUACUUCCAGUAAAAUCUUAGUUGAUUCUCUUAGGCUUCUUUGGCUAACAUUUAUUAUUUUAUAUGCAAAUAAUUAUAGUUUUGUCUCUUCCUUUUCAAUACUUACACUCUUUCCUUCCUUUCCUUUCUUUUUUUUUUCUUUCUCAGGGCCUUGUUGUCACCCAGACUGGAGAGCAAUGGUGUGAUCUAGCUCACUGUAACCUCAAACUCCUGGGCUUAAGGGAUCCUCCUGCCUCAGCUUCCUGAGUGGCUGGGACUACAGGCAGGCAGUGAAUUUUAAAACUUUUGGUGUAGAGACAAGAUCUUGCUAUGUUGCCCAGGCUGGUUUUCCUGCCACUUUAGAGCAGGUUUCCUUUUUUUCAUACUUUUAAGAGGUUUUUAUUAGGAAUUGUCCAUUGAAUGUUAGCUAAAACAGUCAAUAAAAUGCGUUAAGUACCAGCUACAUGCAAGACCCUAAGUUAGAUACAGUCAGCCCUCUUCAUCAGCAGGUCCACAUCUUCAGAUUCAACUAGAUAAGGCUGAAUAUUUGAAGAAAAAAACAAUAAAAAUACAAUUAGAAAGUACAGUAUAACAACUGUUGCCAUGAUACAAUAUCUAUACAUUUUAUUAGUGAUGACCUAAAGUUCAUGGGACCAGGCACGGUGACUCACACUUGUAAUCCCAACACUUUGGGAGGCCAACCUGGGCAGCAUAGUGAGACCUUGUCUUUAAUAAAAAUAAAAAUAAAAAAAUUAGCUAGUGUGGUGGUAUGCACCUGUAGUCCCAGCUACUCAAGAGGCUGAGGUGGGCAGAUCACUGGAGCCCAGGAGGUUGCGGCUGCUGUGAGCUGUGAUUGUGACACUGCUCUCCAGCCUGAGUGACAGAGGGUGAUCCUGUCUCUAAGUAAGUAAAUAAAUAAAGUAUAUGGGGGGGAUGUGUGUUGGUUAUAUGCAAACACUGCACCAUUAUACGUAAGGGAUUGAGCAUCCACAGAUUCUGGUAUGGUGUGGAGGCGAUAUCCUAGAACCAGUCGUCUGCAAGGUAGCAAGGAUGACUGAACUGUGGAAGAAUCAAAGCACUGUUAAACAGCAUACAAUUCCUGUCUUCAAAAAAGUUAUCUCAUCGGGUAGAUGAGACUUAAAAUGAAUAAAAGGAAUGAAUACACAUUGGAGAUAGUGGUUGUUGUGAUAGAUAACCUUAAUUGUGUUUUCUUCCAAAACGGGUGAAUUCACAUAAAAGGGCAUCAGAAAAAUACAAAGACAACCCAUCAAUAUCAGGAGCCUGAGCAUGAGUUAAAGCAUGUGGAUGGCCUAGAGCCAUGUUUUUAAAAUUGUUAUUAAAUAUUGGUUUUUUACUUAAAUCAAUGAAAACUUUCUUUACUUUGUGGUUGUGUUCCUCAAAAUGAGAAUUUUUAACAAUAAUAAAAAUAAAGCUUAUUAGAUCAUUUUUAAUGGUAAUAAAUUGGUUACUGAAGAUUUGACUAAAGAGAAAACUAGGCCAAUCUAAGUAGAGUCCAAAUGAAGUAGAAAGUCCAU